rnacentral:rRNA from 1 species
UACCAGCACCCCGAGUGGUCGGGACGAUUAUUGGGCCUAAAGCAUCCGUAGCCGGUUCUGCAAGUCCCCCGUUAAAUCCAGCUGCUCAACAGAUGGGCCGCGGAGGAUACUACAGGGCUAGGAGGCGGGAGAGGCAAGCGGUACUUUAUGGGUAGGGGUAAAAUCCGUUGAUCCAUAGAAGACCACCAGUGGCGAAGGCGGCUUGCCAGAACGCGCUCGACGGUGAGGGAUGAAAGCUGGGGGAGCAAACCGG